ensembl:miRNA
GCCAUUGGCAUCUGGCACUGGGGUUCCUGCAUGAAAACAGCAGCUGCUGGUGUUUGGAACUACCACACUACUUCUGCUGUCACAGUGAAGUCUGCC